rnacentral:lncRNA from 1 species
GUUGGGGAACGUCGCAUGGGAAACAAAAAAUUUCCUACGCGCACGAAGACUUAUCAUGGUGAUGUCCAUCUACGAGAGGGGAUUUCCGAUCUACGUACCCUUGUAGAUCGCACAGCAGAAGCGUUAGUGAACGCGGUUGAUGUAGUGGAACGUCCUCACGUCCCUCGAUCCGCCCCGCGAACCGUCCCACGAACCGUCCCGCGAUCCG